UGGAAAGAAAAAUAAAAUAAGUGAAAGUGUGUGAAUGGGUUAUCAUGAUCGAAUUUAGAGUAGAUUAAAGGGGAAUCACAUGAAAUAAGAUGUUACACAAUGUGGAAGUUUGAAAAAUAUUUACUUAAUCCAUUGUAUAGUGACUUGAUUCUACUGCAACUUUUAAAAGAAAGAAACUACAUCAAAGAACUAUAGUCAAAUGAUAGGAAUUAAAAAGGUAAAAAGAUGAUUAUAUAGGGAGAAAUUAUUAAAAAAAGGAAGUAUCAUUCAUAUGUCAUGGAAAUAUCCUUAUGGUUGCUUUAUGGGUUUAAGGAAGUAGGAAUUAAGAUUAGAUAAACUUUAUUUUGACUACUUAGAAACUUGCUCAGAACGUAAAUGAUGCUAAAAGAGAUUUGAGAGUAAGAAAAAAGUAAAUUUAUUUAUAUGACUCAAAUUUAAAUAUGACACAACAAAAGAUAAAGAAUGAUAUGCCAAUGCCUUUAAAUGUAUUGUCUUCAUCUUGGAGCAGUCUAUUGUCAACCGUUUUGUUCAAUUACAGCCCUUAAGACUAAUAUUAUAUGAUUUUAAGGGAUUCACUUGAAUAUUUCAUCACAAUGAAGAAU
rnacentral:lncRNA from 1 species